rnacentral:rRNA from 1 species
AGAGUUUGAUCCUGGCUCAGGAUGAACGCUAGCGGCAGGCUUAACACAUGCAAGUCGAGGGGUAACAGAGGUAGCUUGCUACUUGCUGACGACCGGCGCACGGGUGCGUAACGCGUAUACAAUCUGCCUUAUACAGAGGGAUAGCCUUUAGAAAUGAAGAUUAAUACCUCAUGGUCUAUUAAUAUAGCAUUAUAUAAAUAGUAAAGCUUCGGCGGUAUAAGAUGAGUAUGCGUCCUAUUAGUUAGUUGGUAAGGUAACGGCUUACCAAGACUACGAUAGGUAGGGGCCCUGAGAGGGGGAUCCCCCACACUGGUACUGAGACACGGACCAGACUCCUACGGGAGGCAGCAGUGAGGAAUAUUGGACAAUGGAGGCAACUCUGAUCCAGCCAUGCCGCGUGCAGGAAGACGGCCCUAUGGGUUGUAAACUGCUUUUAUACAGGAAGAAACACUCGUACGUGUACGAGCUUGACGGUACUGUAAGAAUAAGGACCGGCUAACUCCGUGCCAGCAGCCGCGGUAAUACGGAGGGUCCGAGCGUUAUCCGGAAUCAUUGGGUUUAAAGGGUCCGUAGGCGGGAAUCUAAGUCAGUGGUGAAAUCUUGCAGCUCAACUGUAAAAUUGCCAUUGAUACUGGAUUUCUUGAAUUAGUGUGAAGUGGUUAGAAUGUGUAGUGUAGCGGUGAAAUGCAUAGAUAUUACACAGAAUACCAAUUGCGAAGGCAGAUCACUAACACUAUAUUGACGCUGAGGGACGAAAGCGUGGGGAGCGAACAGGAUUAGAUACCCUGGUAGUCCACGCC